rnacentral:rRNA from 1 species
ACAAUGGAGAGUUUGAUCCUGGCUCAGGAUGAACGCUAGCGGCAGGCUUAACACAUGCAAGUCGAGGGGCAGCGGGGAGUAGCAAUACUCCGCCGGCGACCGGCGCACGGGUGCGUAACGCGUAUGCAACCUACCUUUAACAGGGGCAUAACACUGAGAAAUUGGUACUAAUUCCCCAUAACAUUCGAGAAGGCAUCUUCUUGGGUUAAAAACUCCGGUGG